rnacentral:rRNA from 1 species
CCUACGGGAGGCAGCAGUCGAGAAUCAUUCACAAUGGGGGAAACCCUGAUGGUGCGACGCCGCGUGGGGGAAUGAAGGUCUUCGGAUUGUAAACCCCUGUCAUGUGGGAGCAAAUUAAAAAGAUAGUACCAUAAGAGGAAGAGACGGCUAACUCUGCGCCAGCAGCCGCGGUAAUACAGAGGACGCAAGCGUUGUUCGGAAUCACUGGGCGUAAAGUGUGCGUAGGCGGUUUCGUAAGUCGGGUGUGAAAGGCGUGGGCUCAACCCGCGAACGGCACGUGAUACUGUGAGACUAGAGUAAGGGAGGGGGAGCUGGAAUUCUCGGUGUAGCGGUGAAAUGCGUAGAGAUCGAGAGGAACACUCGUGGCGAAGGCGGGUUCCUAGACAUUAACUGACGCUGAGGCACGAAGGCGAGGGGAGCGAAAGGGAUUAGAUACCCUUGUAGUC